GGGAAGAUGGCUCAGUGGUAGAGUGCUUGCCUUCCAUGCAUGAAAACCUGGGUUCGAUUCCUCAGUACCA
rfam:Dipodomys ordii contig_52329, whole genome shotgun sequence.